AUCUUCUGUAAAAUAAAACAAAGUAUUUUAAAGAGAAGUGGAAGCUGGAAUUUUCUGUCUCAUGUUUUCUUUGACGUGUUGGAGAUGAAGCAUGUAACAUGGGUGGUCACAAGGCUUCAUGCUGCCAGUGUAUCAGCAGUUUGUCCAGACCAGCAUGGCCCAGGAUCAGAGAAAUCAUUCAUUCAUUCAAUAAGUGGCUUAUUAAAGAAAACCCAAGCAGAAGUGUUAUACUGCAGACUGCAGUUUCAUUGCCUGAGACACAGGAAACAAACCAACAGGCUGCGGCGUGGGAAAGAUGGCAGGCACUGAAGAAAAGCCAAAG